CUCAUGACCAUCCAUAUAAAUACCCAGUUCCCCUACAUGAAACUCCCCAUUAUUGCUUAUUAAUUAAUCUGUUUUGUUGUACAAAAUGAGACAUCUCAAUUGUAUUGUGCUAGUAUUAGUAGUCAUUCUUAUAUGUGUCCGACCAGGUAAUAGUCGAUUAUUGAGUGAUCAAGAGAAGGGAUUAAAGACAAUACGUAUUGUUCCUGUCCCUCCUUCUGGACCAUCACAUUGCACCAACAUCCCUGGACGUCGGGGCCCUGACUGUCCGAUCAAGGAAAUGCACUUUGCCGGUGGUGGUGGUGGUGUGAACCUGGAGCUGCCACCUAUUCACACUCGAUGAAUAUAUGAGGUUCACUUGCACACAAUUUUUUUUCCCCUUCACUUCUAUUUUUCCUUAUAUUUUAUCAGUGUGUGGGAUUUUACACCUGAAAACAUGUUCGAAACAUUGUAAUCCACGUAAGGGUGUGUGCAAAGUUUGAGUCAUUUUAUGAAGUAGAGUUUAUUAUAUAUACUGUUAUAAGUUUA
rnacentral:lncRNA from 1 species